rnacentral:rRNA from 1 species
UUCGGUUAUUAUUUAGUGGCGGAAGGGUUAGUAAUACAUAGAUAAUCUGUCCUCAACUUGGGAAUAACGGUUGGAAACGACCGCUAAUACCGAAUGUGGUAUGUUUAGGAUUCUAAAACAUAUUAAAGAAGGGGAUCUUCGGACCUUUCGGUUGAGGGAGAGUCUAUGGGAUAUCAGCUUGUUGGUGGGGUAAUGGCCUACCAAGGCUUUGACGUC